UACAGAGGCCUCGAGCGUUGUUCGGAAUUACUGGGCGUAAAGGGAAUGUAGGUGGUGACGUAAGUCAGAUGUGAAAGCCCUGGGCUUAACCCGGGAAGUGCAUUUGAUACUGCGUUGCUGGAGUACGAGAGAGGAAAGCGGAAUUCCCAGUGUAGGAGUGAAAUCCGUAGAUAUUGGGAGGAAUACCGAUGGCGAAGGCAGCUUUCUGGCUCGUAACUGACACUGAGAUUCGAAAGCGUGGGUAGCAAACAGG
rnacentral:rRNA from 1 species